rnacentral:tRNA from 29 species
GGAAGGGUGGCCGAGUGGUUUAAGGCACCGGUCUUGAAAACCGGCGUGCCUGCAAGGGUACCGUGGGUUCGAAUCCCACCCCUUCCGCCA